GGUUUGGAAUUGGAGGAGCUCCAAGGUCCCUUCCAACCCAAACCGUUCCAUGAUUUCAUUCCCAAGUACAUGUUUACACUGGUCAUAUGAAUCGGGCUAAAUGAGUCAGGUAGCCAAGAAGGAUCAGCUCAGAGGGAGAUGUCUUCUUUGUGGACAUCUAAAAUCAGGUGAGAUUAGUCUUGUAUGAGGUGCAUCCAAACCUUGUUAAUACUUGACAUUUUUUUAAGAGUAAAUACCCCUUUGUGGAUCUGAGCUCAUGUUCUUGUCCAUCCGUGGGACAGAAGAUUAAAUCUGAGCAUCCCCUGCUGCCUUAUGCAGCAGAGGUCAUCAGGGGAAGAGAACUGCAGCAUCUGGAUGGGACAGUUCAGGUGUACUCAGCCACCCUGCAAGACGAAAGGUUCCUGGCUCACCAUGGUGGACACAAUGGGGAAACCGGAGCACUCGAAGCUGCCUGUGUCACUGGGCAUGUACAAGAGUUUGUACAAGAAGGACUACCGGUGGUGUGAGGAGUACAAGCUACCCAGCGACAUACAGAAGAUGCAGGUUGCAGAUGCCCAGCUGAAAGCCAAGGAGUUUGCUGUACCCCAGGAGAAGCCGGUGAUACCCUACAGUGACAGCGUUAUCAGGCAGAGGAGGGAAGUCAUCCCAGCACCCAGCAUCGAAGCCAUCAGUCGUGCUGAUGGUGCAGGAGGGAGGAUGCCAGACAGCAGCAGAGCCUUGCAACAGGGAAAGCACUUCACUUCUUACCUUCCUGUUGCAGAAAGCUACCUACCAAAGCACUACCCUGCCUCCCAUCUGGCAGAGAAAGCGGACAGGCUGCAGGCUCUCAGUGAGCUGGAGAAUGACCUGUCUUAUUGCCAGCACCUUCCAGUGGCUGCUCAGGCUGCUGGGGCAGCAGGGAUGUUGCUGCCCAGGCAGAAGCUGGUCCCAGCCUGGGCCACCUACCAGCAGUUCAUCUUUGAGACCAGCCGGGAAAGCCAGAAUAAUGGUCUGCAAAUCAAGCUCAAGAACGUGGGCUCCUCUGUUCUGGCUGAAGCUUUCUUCUAGCCUCCCUUUAGGUACUGGAAGGAUGCUUUGAGGUAUCCCUGGAGGCUUCUCCAUGCUGGACAAACCCAACUCUCACCUGAAAUCUCAUCUAAAAGACCUUAUCUACAUCAGUGAAGCACUUGCAUUUCUACACUUUGAUCAUGGUAGCUCCCACAUUGAGGUCUGAAAUCGUAAGCCGCCAAUGGAGCUUGGAAGAAGGGGGAACACUGAGGCUGUGUGAUGCAGGAGUUGAGAGAUCCAGAAGUCUUUCAAUUAUUUGGACUCUCUUUGACUAGACUGCUCUGACUGUGACUGGAGAACUACCUACAACAUAGAUUUCAAGCACAGGCCGAGAGUCUAUGGUGGACGCUGUAAAGGAAAUAUGAACCUUUCUCACAUUUUCCCCAAAGAUGUGCUCCACAAGGACCACUGGAUAUCUGAGUACAAUGACACCUACACCAUUUUCUUGCGGCGGCUGAGGUGGUCAUCUGAGAUCCCUGCUGCGGGGCUGUGCUCUGGGAAAGGGAUUGAGAUGGAUGCAGCCCAGUGACUGAUGCUGCGAGUGGCCAUGCUCCUUGGCCCUCCAACCUGUCUGUAUGACAUUGUCCAUCAGAGAUCCCAAAAGCUCGGAAACCUCCUCUCUUUCUUCCAGACCCACCACCAUGUCUAUCAAACGUGAAAUGUUUUUCAGAGACCUUUUUAAACACAUAUUAUUAAAAUCUCCUAAGAACCUGAGCUUUUCUCAUUGUCAGAAAAGGCUUUUUUUUGGGGAGGAGAAGGAUACAGAACAGACUACAGAGCUCAGAUUACUCAGGCAGCUUUAAUUUAUGUACUUUAAAGAAAACUUGCCAAUAAACUAGACAAACCAAGAA